UGAGAUAUAUGAUAAAAUAUUUGCUUCUAAGAUUGAUAAGGCAGUUUGACACCACAACACCUCUAAGAUGCUAACAUACAAGUGUUCUUUUUUUUGUAACUAAGACAUAUAUUAAAAACACAUAUCAAGAGUCAUUACAAGGUACAUUACAAACUGAAACUGUUAUAGGAUACGCAGUUCCUUAGCAUGUCCCUUUCCAAAAUAUUAGCAACAAAAGUAGGAGGAAUAAGUUAAGUUGUUAAGCUUCCAAAAGUUGUUGAUAUUCCUCCAUUCUUCGCCAUUGAAUCAGCCACCUGGUUCGCCUCCCUGUGGACGUGCUGUAGUGGCAGGUCACCUGCUCUACUCAGUAGGUAUCUGCACUCAUCAAUCAGAUUAAAG
rnacentral:lncRNA from 1 species